rnacentral:rRNA from 1 species
AUUGAACGCUGGCGGCAUGCCUUACACAUGCAAGUCGAACGGCAGCAUGGAGAGCUUGCUCUCUGAUGGCGAGUGGCGAACGGGUGAGUAAAGCAUCGGAACGUACCGUGUAGUGGGGGAUAACGUAGCGAAAGUUAAGCUAAUACCGCAUACGCCCUGAGGUGGAAAUCAGGGGAUCGUAAGACCUUGCGCUCUACUAGCGGCCGAUGUCAGAUUAGCGAGUUGGUAGCGUAAAGGCCAACCAAGGCGACGAUCUGUAGCGGGUCUGAGAGGAUGAUCCGCCACACUGGGACUGAGACACGGCCCAGACUCCUACGGGAGGCAGCAGUGGGGAAUUUUGGACAAUGGGGGCAACCCUGAUCCAGCCAUGCCGCGUGAGUGAAGAAGGCCUUCGGGUUGUAAAGCUCUUUCGGCCGGGAAGAAAUCGCACAGGCUAAUACCCUGUGUGGAUGACGGUACCGGCAUAAGAAGCACCGGCUAACUACGUGCCAGCCGCCGCCGUAA